UACGGAAGGGGCUAGUGUUACUCUACGUGAUUGGGCGUAAAGGGUACGUAGGUGGUUUUAUAAGUUUUUAGUUAAAUGUAUCUCGGUAGAGUAGAAGAGGCUGAAAAUACUAUAAGACUUGAGUGUAGUUAAAGAUAGUGGAACAUUUAGUGGAGGGAUAAAAUCUGGAGAUAUUAAAUGGAACACCUAUGGCGAAGGCAGCUAUCUAAAUUAUCACUGACACUGAGGUACGAAAGCAUGGGGAGCAAACAGG
rnacentral:rRNA from 1 species